rnacentral:rRNA from 1 species
CCCUGCCAUUUGUACACACCGCCCGUCGUUGCUACCGAUUGGGUGACUGACAGAGUUUGUUGGACUGCGCCCCUAGGGCCAGGAAGCCAAGCAAUGUUUAUCAUCUAGAGGAAGCAAAAGUCGUAACA